UGUGUGAUGGUGGUCUCCUCCCUUGUGCUGUUUAACGAGUGUUUGUGCAGAGUUCAUUCCUCCUGCUGCUUUACCUUCAAUCCAGCAUGCUUGCCUGAAGGCCCUCAGGCAGCCCCUGGUUCUGUGCUCUGUGUUUGGCUGGUCAGCGUUCUUCUGCCAGGUGGUCCCCUCCUGCAGUUAAUUACCUGCCUGGGUUAAAGUUAAAUGCAAGAGUAGAGAAUUUUAAGGAGGUGAAGGAUUACUCAGGAAUGUGCCAAUACUCCCAUUUGAGUGUAUGAUUUGAUGAAGAAAAAAGUAAAGCAGAAGAUGGGCAGUGACAUUCUCCAUGAAAGCCUUGAGUACUCCUGACUUGGUGGAAGCAGCAGGAGCUGUGGUGCUGCAGGGCUGGCUCUUGCUGAGGCAGUCCAGUGUUCUCACAGACCAGUACACAUGCCAAACUCACAGCCUUGCUUGCAAGUUUUCAAGGCUGACUUGCUGCUUUUGAAUAUAUUGCAUUAUUAUCAUGACAAGGAGGUUUAAAGAACUGUGUAUUGACAUAAAGACAAACACAGGGUGUUCUUACCAGCUGAUGGAAGAGUGGAGAGUUGUAGUGCAACUGGUUUGCCUUUGCAAGAAACAGAGGUGUGAAAAUUUCUGGGAAAGUUACAAUGGUGGGCAACAGCAGGGGAAAUUCCAGGCCUGAUUCACAGCAGGCUGCCGACUGCCAAAAUGCUCUCAGCAUCCUUGCCAUGGUCUUUGAAGAAUUAUAAAACCAAGAACAAGAUAAAUCCGUCUGACUUAAAUACAGGGAAUGGCUCAAACAGGUUUGGGAAUUCUGCUCUCUGUCUCUGUAGGAUUAUAAUAAACCUUUCUACUAAAUUUCUUUCUUAA